rnacentral:rRNA from 1 species
AGUGAACGCUGGCGGUAGGCCUAACACAUGCAAGUCGAACGGCAGCACAGGAGAGCUUGCUCUCUGGGUGGCGAGUGGCGGACGGGUGAGGAACACAUCGGAAUCUACUUUUUCGUGGGGGAUAACGUAGGGAAACUUACGCUAAUACCGCAUACGACCUACGGGUGAAAGCAGGGGAUCUUCGGACCUUGCGCGAUUGAAUGCGCCGAUGUCGGAUGAGCUAGUUGGCGGGGUAAAGGCCCACCAAGGCGACGAUCCGUAGCUGGUCUGAGAGGAUGAUCAGCCACACUGGAACUGAGACACGGUCCAGACUCCUACGGGAGGCAGCAGUGGGGAAUAUUGGACAAUGGGCGCAAGCCUGAUCCAGCCAUACCGCGUGGGUGAAGAAGGCCUUCGGGUUGUAAAGCCCUUUUGUUGGGAAAGAAAUCCAGCUGGUUAAUACCCGGUUGGGAUGACGGUACCCAAAGAAUAAGCACCGGCUAACUUCGUGCCAGCCGCCGCCGUAA